CGGCAACAGCUCAAAUUUGAAAUCUGCCCGCAAGGGCCGAGUUGUAAUUUAGAGAAGUGUUAUCCGUGCUGGACCGUGUACAAGUCUCCUGGAAUGGAGCGUCAUAGAGGGUGAGAAUCCCGUCUUUGACACGGACUGCCAGUGCAUUGUGAUGCGCUCUCAAA
rnacentral:rRNA from 1 species